rnacentral:rRNA from 1 species
GCGCGAAAACUUUACAAUGCUGGCAACAGCGAUAAGGGAACCUCGAGUGCCAGGUUACAAAUCUGGCUGUCGAGAUGCCUAAAAAGCAUUUCAUAGCAAGGGCUGGGCUAGACCGGUGCCAGCCGCCGCGGUAACACCAGCGGCUCGAGUGGUAACCGUUAUUAUUGGGUCUAAAGGGUCUGUAGCCGGCCGGAUAAGUCUCUUGAGAAAUCUGGCAGCUUAACUGUCAGGCUUUCAGGAGAUACUGUCUGGCUCGAGGCCGGGAGAGGUGAGAGGUACUUCAGGGGUAGGGGUGAAAUCUUGUAAUCCUUGAAGGACCACCAGUGGCGAAGGCGUCUCACCAGAACGGACCUGACGGCAAGGGACGAAAGCUAGGGGCACGAA